GACAGAGGGUGCAAACGUUGCUCGGAAUCACUGGGCGUAAAGGGCGUGUAGGCGGGAAGGAUAGUCAGAUGUGAAAUCCCUGGGCUCAACCCAGGAACUGCAUUUGAAACUUCCUUUCUUGAGUGUCGGAGAGGAAGGCGGAAUUCCUGGUGUAGAGGUGAAAUUCGUAGAUAUCAGGAGGAACACCGGUGGCGAAGGCGGCCUUCUGGACGAUAACUGACGCUGAGACGCGAAAGCGUGGGGAGCAAACAGG
rnacentral:rRNA from 1 species